AAAUACAAAUAGUACGGUGCUAAUCCUCCAUCAUAACAGCAACGCUCCAAGGUCCAAACGCGCCUGGCUGUUGAAGGGAAUUGAAGAGGACCUUU